AGAGUCCGACCUGCCCAGUGAUACACACGUAUUCAACGGCCGCGGUACUCUGACCGUGCAAAGGUAGCAUAAUCAUUUGCCCUAUAAUUGAGGGCUAGUAUGAAGGGUUUGACAAGGGCCCUCCUGUCUCUACGAAAAUACAUGAAACUUAUUUUUUAGAUGAAGAAAUCUAAAUAUAAUUAAUAGACAAGAAGACCCUAUCGAGCUUUAAAGUUAUUUAUGUAAUUAAGAAACUGAAUCCAGAUUUCUUUUCAUAAAAAAUUUUGGUUGGGGCGACUAAGGAACAGACAGAGCUUCUUUUUAUUUUAUAUUUUCUAUACAAUGAUCCAUGAAUUAUCAUGAUUAACAGAAUUAGUUACCGUAGGGAUAACAGCAUAAUCUUUUUUGAGAGCUCCUAUCGAAAAAAAGGUUUGUGACCUCGAUGUUGGACUAGAAUAUCCUGACAGGUGCAGCCGCCUUCAAGGGUUGGUCUGUUCGACCAUUAAAA
rnacentral:rRNA from 1 species